AGGCAACGAGCGAGACCCACGCCCACAGUUGCCAGCGUACUCUCCGGAGUGACGGGUACACUGUGGGACCGCCCGCUGCUAAAGCGGAGGAAGGAAUGGGCAACGGUAGGUCAGUAUGCCCCGAAUAUCCCGGGCUACACGCGAGCUACAAUGGUUGGUACAAUGGGUAUCUACCCCGAAAGGGGACGGGAAUCUCCUAAAACCAAUCUUAAGUUCGGAUUGAGGGCUGCAACUCGCCCUCCAUGAAGCUGGAAUCCGUAGUAAUCGCGUUUCAACAGAACGCGGUCGAAUACCGUCCCUGCUCCUU
rnacentral:rRNA from 1 species